ensembl:lncRNA
UCAACUCACACUAUACACACCAGUUCAACUCACACUAUACACACCAGUUCAACUCACACUAUACACACACCAGAUCAACUCACACUACACACACCAGUUCAACUCACACUAUACACACACCAGUUCAACUCACACUACACACACCAGUUCAACUCACACUAUACACACACCAGUUCAACUCACACUAUACACACCAGAUCAACUCACACUACACACACCAGAUCAACUCACACUAUACACACCAGUUCAACUCACACUACACACACCAGUUCAACUCACACUACACACACCAGUUCAACUCACACUAUACACACACCAGUUCAACUCACACUAUACACACCAGUUCAACUCACACUAUACACACCAGUUCAACUCACACUAUACACACCAGUUCAACUCACACUAUACACACCAGUUCAACUCACACUAUACACACACCAGAUCAACUCACACUACACACACCAGUUCAACUCACACUACACACACCAGUUCAACUCACACUACACACACCAGUUCAACUCACACUACACACACCAGUUCAACUCACACUACACACACCAGUUCAACUCACACUAUACACACACCAGUUCAACUCACACUAUACACACACCAGUUCAACUCACACUAUACACACCAGUUCAACACACACUAUACACACACCAGUUCAACACACACUAUACACACACCAGUUCAACUCACACUACACACACCAGUUCAACUCACACACACUAUACACACCAGUUCAACUCACACUAUACACACCAGUUCAACUCACACUAUACACACACCAGUUCAACUCACACUAUACACACCAGUUCAACUCACACUACACACACCAGUUCAACACACACACACCAGUUCAACUCACACUACACACACCAGUUCAACUCACACUAUACACACCAGUUCAACACACACACACUAUACACACCAGUUCAACUCACACACACUAUACACACCAGUUCAACUCACACUAUACACACACCAGUUCAACUCACACUAUACACACCAGUUCAACUCACACUAUACACACACCAGUUCAACUCACACUACACACACCAGUUCAACUCACACUACACACCCCAGUUCAACUCACACUAUACACACACCAGUUCAACUCACACUAUACACACCAGUUCAACUCACACUAUACACACACCAGUUCAACUCACACUAUACACACACCAGUUCAACUCACACUACACACACACCAGUUCAACUCACACACACUAUACACACCAGUUCAACUCGCUAG